AUUCCCGGGGUAGUCGCUGGGAGCAAAGCUCGCUUCUCCCGCGCCUGUGCUUUUGCCUGCCCCGGCUUACUUCUCCCCGCGUCGGUCCGCUGGCCACGUACAGCUGACCAGCUCAUCUUCCAGCUUCGGACCGAGGCUCCACGGCCGCCGCAGGGACCCGCCCACCAGACCCUGCGCUCGGUAGCCGGUGUGAGUGGAACGUGCCGCUGAUGACACCUGGCAGAAGGCAGCCAUGGAGGGCGAUGGCUCAGAUUCGCCGGCUGGAAGCGCAAUUCAUUGACCCCGAGGACAACUGUUUUCCCUUGCCCUGGCUGUGAGCAUGAUGUGGAUCUUGGAGAACGAGGAAUCAAUGGUCUGUUUCGAAACUUCACUUUGGAAACUAUUGUGGAAAGAUAUCGUCAAGCAGCUAGGGCAGCCACAGCCAUUAUGUGUGACCUUUGUAAACCACCACCUCAAGAAUCCACAAAAAGCUGCAUGGACUGUAGUGCAAGUUACUGCAAUGAAUGCUUCAAAAUUCAUCACCCUUGGGGUACUAUAAAAGCUCAACAUGAGUAUGUUGGUCCAACUACUAACUUCAGACCCAAG
rnacentral:lncRNA from 1 species